rnacentral:rRNA from 1 species
GACGAACGCUGGCGGCGUGCUUAACACAUGCAAGUCGAACGGAAAGGCCCUGCUUUUGUGGGGUGCUCGAGUGGCGAACGGGUGAGUAACACGUGAGUAACCUGCCCUUGACUUUGGGAUAACUUCAGGAAACUGGGGCUAAUACCGGAUAGGAGCUCCUGCUGCAUGGUGGGGGUUGGAAAGUUUCGGCGGUUGGGGAUGGACUCGCGGCUUAUCAGCUUGUUGGUGGGGUAGUGGCUUACCAAGGCUUUUACGGGUAGCCGGCCUGAGAGGGUGACCGGCCACAUUGGGACUGAGAUACGGCCCAGACUCCUACGGGAGGCAGCAGUGGGGAAUAUUGCACAAUGGGCGGAAGCCUGAUGCAGCAACGCCGCGUGCGGGAUGACGGCCUUCGGGUUGUAAACCGCUUUCGCCUGUGACGAAGCGUGAGUGACGGUAAUGGGUAAAGAAGCACCGGCCAACUACGUG